UGGGUGCAGGUACAGAACUCCACUGCCCAUCUGACUAAAUGUGAUGACAGACAGACACCGGAUGACCCGCAGCUUCCUCAGCCGGCCAUUUCUACAGUUUUUCCCACCCCACCUUGUAGACGUUACACGCGCUCAUGACUCAAAGCGUCCCUGUCUUUCAAAAUUACUUACAAAGAGCCUCUUUUGACCACUGAAGCAAAGAUUUUUUAAAAGCUCUUCUGAAGAAAGGGUUAAUUCAUCAUAAUACAAUCUCCAAACACCAUGUUGUCAGCUCAGGCUUAUGGGAAAAGGAAGUGUGUGUGACAGACAGCAAGGGACAAGACAGACUCCAGAGAGCCCUGAGGAAGCAAACACCAAGCCCACUGCUAUGUCUCUGGAAAUUACAGUUUAAAUGUGUCUUUAGUGAAAAUGAAUUUAUCUAGUUCCUAACCAUAUACCGUCAUGUCAUCUCCCCUCAAAAAGCCUGGGCAUGGCACUGGGGACUUGCAAUAAAUAGCCUUUAAAGUUAUUGAUCUACUUUUCGUGGUCACAUGACCAUCUUGAUGGAAGAGGGCAAAGAGGGAAAGGAG
rnacentral:lncRNA from 1 species